UACGAAGGGGGCUAGCGUUGUCCGGAUUUAUUGGGUUUAAAGGGUGCGUAGGCGGCCUGGUAAGUCAGUGGUGAAAGCCCAUAGCUCAACUAUGGAACUGCCAUUGAUACUGCCAGGCUUGAGUACAGACGAGGUAGGCGGAAUUGAUAGUGUAGCGGUGAAAUGCAUAGAUACUAUCAAGAACACCGAUUGCGUAGGCAGCUUACUAGGCUGUAACUGACGCUGAGGCACGAAAGCGUGGGGAGCGAACAGG
rnacentral:rRNA from 1 species